GACAGAGGGUGCAAACGUUGUUCGGAAUUACUGGGCGUAAAGCGUGUGUAGGCGGCUUUGCAAGUCAGGUGUGAAAUCCCCGGGCUCAACCUGGGAAGUGCACUUGAAACUGCAAAGCUUGAGUAUCGGAGAGGUUGGUAGAAUUCUCGGUGGAGAGGUGAAAUUCGUAGAUAUCGAGGGGAAUACCAGUGGCGAAGGCGGCCAACUGGACGAAUACUGACGCUGAGACACGAAAGCGUGGGGAGCAAACAGG
rnacentral:rRNA from 1 species